UACGGAGGCCCCGAGCGUUAUCCGGAAUUACUGGGCGUAAAGGGUGUGUAGGCGGCUAUAUUAGUCGGAUGUUAAAGACCGGGGCUCAACUCCGGUUUCGCGUUCGAAACGGUAUAGCUAGAGAGUGCGAGGGGUGUACGGAGCUCAUAGUGUAGGGGUGAAAUCCGUUGAUAUUAUGAGGAACACCGAAAGCGAAGGCAGUACACCGGUGCAUUUCUGACGCUGAAACGCGAAACCCUGGGUAGCGAAAGGG
rnacentral:misc_RNA from 1 species